GGGGGGGGGGGGAACCUUAUGGGAGAAAAUUCAAGUGGCUAACAAACGUGUAACGGUGCUCCAAUUCAUAACCAGUAAGGGCUUUACAAAGGAAACCCCAAUGAGAGAACAUUACAGACAGGCAAAUAACACCACUACUAAUUAAAUGGGGGUAGGGGAUUAGGUAGAAGGUUCUGACCUGGUAAAGCAUGGGAGUAAAGGGCUAAUACUAUUUUACUUCUUCAUCUGUGUGCGGGUUACACAGGUGUGUGCAUUACAAUCAGUUGUUAUGCUGUACACGCAGAUUCUGUGCAUUUUAUGUAUCUUACAAUUUUUCAACACCCCUCCUCACACACACCCUGAUGAAUCCUAUGAACAGAGAGAAGGUGGUUGAGAUUCCAAGAUUUUGUUUCACGAAGAAAGGUGAAACCACAUGCCUCCAAGGACAUCCCUAUGCAGACCAGAUCCAUGAAGUCCUGCCCUUGUGGGGUCUCCUCCCCGCCCAGCGCCUUUCCUAUAUCUUCUUCAUUGAAGAUGGAGGCAAGAAGAGGGGGAGGAGGAGGAGACCGCCUGAAAACGGAACAAGUUUCUCACAGGCCCGGGAGAGGGUAAGGCAGGGAGGCAAAGACAUGUGUUUUGUUUGUUUGUUUGUUUGUUUGUUUGUUUCCUUCCCAGCUAACAGUCAAGGGGAAAUUUGAGGGGUUGUUACAGGCUUUAACAUCUUUACUCCAUCCAGCAGGUAAGUCAUCAGUUUCCUUUAUGUAAAUCAGAACUCCUCCUCCCUCCCCAGGCCCCACCCUUAGACCCUCAUUCCUGUUGACAGAGAAAAUUGUGUGUCACAGCUCAGAAUUUAUUCGUUAAAAUUUCAGAUUUCCAAGAAUCUAAAAAUAAAUUAAUGACUAAAACGACUUCAAUGGUUCCAACACAGUAUGGCCAUCGUUCUGCCCUCAAAAGUAGAAAGACAGCCUCAGAAUAACAAAACUCUUGAAACUGAAUAAAUCAAGUUUAGUUUUAAAACGGAAAGGGCGGGGGGAACUCCUCCUCCCACCCCCCCCCCGCCCCCAAUCUUCGAUUUUAAGCUACUGUUAGGGGAAUCCGCCAGAGAUUUUUCGGAUGAAAAUUAAUCACUCGCAGUCUCCAACGCAGUCACGCACUUAGUGCCCUCAAAUGGGAAUCCUUUCGAAGGAGCGUCCAAGAGGUAGAAAACAAACCCGGAUCAACAGUUCCCAGAGUCUUCAGUUCUUUUCCCCUUAUUAAAAGUCUACUUUUCGGGCUAACACCUGUUGGGGCGCACUGCCAGGCACGCGGCGUCCUCGCCGGAACGGCCACGCGCCCGCGGGACGCGCGCAGGCGGCGGCGGCUGAUGACCUGAACCUACGCGUUUACAGCAGCUCCACGCGGGUCCACGCGGGUUCCUCCCUACCAGCCUCCACCUUUAUUCAGGCUCAAGGGUGUCUGCAGGGCCCCGCGACUGCUGUCCUCCCGAGACACUUUGGUGUCUCGAUCCUCGCUCUGCACUGAGACGUGGCCCGGCGGCCAACCCAAGGCCCAGCACGGGCAUCGGUGACCUGGUGGCUCUUUGGGUUCCGCGGCUCCCCCAGGGCGAGGCUGAAGGUAACUGUGGUCUUAGAUCCAAAGAGUCUAAACCGCAGACCCCGCGGUGUCACCUGCAGGGGGCGGGGGGGCGGGGGGGAAGAAAGGUACCAACCCGGGAGCGAGCUGGUCGCCGCGCGGCACGCCAAAUGCACUUACGCAUUUAGGCACAACCCCAGUGUAGGUCGACUGCUUAGUCAAGCUUUCUGCUCAGAAGCCACCCUGCGGAGUUUGGUUCUCAUUUUCCUACUCCUGGAAGCCAGAAUCACGAGAUGCUCGGACUUGCCUUGUGCAACAGGUGCAUGAUGGGUCUGUGGAAACAACCUCCAGAGCGACUCCCAGCUAGGGCGCCGGGCGAUUUCAAAGGUUCCAGAACAGGCUUACGCGGUCGUCUUUGCAGCACGGAGCUAAGUCACCCACAGGCACUCGAAGCAAAGGCUUCAGAAGGAGACUUCCAUCCAACACAAUUUCAAAAUAAACUGUUUCGUCGGCUCACACCACAACUCUGAGAAAGGCUCUUCCCGACUGGCCAACAGACCCCGGCAGGAGAACGCCGGAAAGUCAUCCAGACCCCUUGAUGAUGACCCUGAACCUUCCACCGUCAACCUCCAACAUGUCACCCUAGACAGUCUGAGAAAGUAAUGUGACUUGCCAGCUUAGGCAAGUAAAAUUCUAACUCGGGGAAGAAAUAAGAAGCAGAAGUCGACUGGCAGUAGAAGGAGGAAAGGGCGGGAAUCUGAACCGAACUAAUGAAGAAACGCAUUUUGGUCAAGUGAGUUAGGGCUUUGUGUUUGUUUUUUGUUUUUGUCUUUUUUUACAGGAAUAAAUGAGUCAGUCUUGUAAUCAUUAUAACAAUAACACUCGGCUGUCUUUUACGGUGUUGAAAGCAUUUAAUGGAUAUGAGAUAUAUCAUAAUUACGAAAAGGUUCAUAUUGAGCUUGUGGCUGAUGAUUGUUUUGGAGAUUCUAAUCUGAAUUGGAUGCCCUGUUGCACCGAGCUGCAGCAUUGGUGACUGUGAGAUGUAUAUGAAGAACAGGUCUUGGUGUACUGGCUUUAUAAGGAGCAGGCUAAUUUUUAGAAAAAAUAUCGAUGGUUGAAAUGUUAACAUAUUGGUCCUUUGAUGAUCUUGAAAGAUAGGAGAGUUCCUUCCCCAGUUUUCCCUGGGGAAAUUAAACUGAAGCUAGGAACUGGAGAGCUCCCCCACCCUUCGGACUAGGAAUCGUUAUGACUUUUUGAAGGACAGGAGCCACAGAGGUGCCAUGACAGGUCUCUUGCUAGAAGAAGGCAAGCUAGGUGGAGGCGGAGUCAUAAACUUGAGCUCAAUAAGGAAUAGGACCAUCACCUCGACCUUGAAGAGCUUUGGCUCCCUCUGCCCUCUGCCCAACAUCCGGGACACACACCGGCUCUGGCCAACACACUUUCAAUUACCAACUGCAUCAACCAGGGGUACGUGUAUCCCCACAUCUCUUUUGAAACUACAGACCUGCACCUUCUGAUUUACAAGUCACUGCCUCCUAUGCAUCUCAGAGUCACAAGUGCUAAAACUCAAGGCACCAGGGAGUUCCCUGUCAGCAUCACACACCACCCUCUGUACCUCUAAGAUCAGACCCAGGCACAGUGUGUCCCAAAAUGUAGCAGUGCAUUAUCUUGAGUGUUUUAGUCAAUCAUCAAAACAACAGCCAAAUCAGUUCCUGCCCUCACCUAGAACAUGUACUCCCACCACCACCCAUUCUGUUGCCCAAACCAGAUCUUGCUGCCCUCUUGGGAUGUACUCUCUCACCCUCUUGGCAUGCAAAUGCAUGUCGAGUAUCAUCAGUAGAUAGUCCCUAACUUUACUGGGUUCACCGCUGGCUUACUGCCAUUUUAUGAGUGCACCCUUCCAUCCAUCAGCUCCUUCCUCAUUUAAUACAACUGGAUCCAGCAACCUUAGAGCCAGUCUAGUUUACUCCCAUCCAUUUGCCACACUGCAUCAUGAGUGACCCUUCCACAGCCUAAAUCUGGGCAUAUUUGUAACCUAAAGCCACCCAUGUCCUCAGAUUCCUUCACUAUAGUGUCUUGAUACCUAUAUGACAUGUACUCUACCUCCGCCCAUCCUCAUCAUCUGAAUAUCUCUUGCUGAUUCUCAGGACUGGCAACAGUGAAGUGCUUGACAGGUCAGGAAGGAUCUCACCUCCAGGUGCUGGCUUCCCUCCCCAAGGGAAUGGUUUCCCACAAUGCCCUCUUUGUUCUUCCAAUUC